GGAGGAGUGACCGAGUGGCUGAAGGUGGCGGUUUUGAAAACCGUUGAACGGAAACGUUCCGGGGGUUCGAAUCCCUCCUCCUCCGC
rnacentral:tRNA from 2 species